rnacentral:rRNA from 1 species
AGUGAACGCUGGCGGUAGGCCUAACACAUGCAAGUCGAACGGCAGCACAGUAAGAGCUUGCUCCUACGGGUGGCGAGUGGCGGACGGGUGAGGAAUACAUCGGAAUCUACUUUUUCGUGGGGGAUAACGUAGGGAAACUUACGCUAAUACCGCAUACGACCUACGGGAGAAAGCAGGGGAUCUUCGGACCUUGCGCGACUGAAUGAGCCGAUGUCGGAUUAGCUAGUUGGCGGGGUAAAGGCCCACCAAGGCGACGAUGCGUAGCUGGUCUGAGAGGAUGAUCAGCCACACUGGAACUGAGACACGGUCCAGACUCCUACGGGAGGCAGCAGUGGGGAAUAUUGGACAAUGGGCGCAAGCCUGAUCCAGCCAUGCCGCGUGGGUGAAGAAGGCCUUCGGGUUGUAAAGCCCUUUUGUUGGGAAAGAAAAGCGGCAGGUUAAUACCCCGCUGUUCUGACGGUACCCAAAGAGUAAGCACCGGCUAACUUCGUG